GACGUAGGGCGCGAGCGUUGUCCGGAUUUAUUGGGCGUAAAGAGCGUGUAGGCGGCCAGAUAAGUCCGCUGUGAAAUCUCGAGGCUCAACUUCGAGCUGUCGGUGGAAACUGUCUGGCUAGAGUCCGGAAGAGGAGAAUGGAAUUCCUGGCGUAGCGGUGAAAUGCGCAGAUAUCAGGAAGAACACCCGUGGCGAAGGCGGUUCUCUGGGACGGUACUGACGCUGAGACGCGAAAGCUGGGGGAGCAAACCGG
rnacentral:rRNA from 1 species